GCGCAUCUUCAAAAGCAGCAUGGAGUUAUGAUAUCAUUCUACUCGAUUUUCUCCUAUUUCAGAUUUUUAGAUUUAUAUUGACGAAUAUCAAAAUUCCAAUGAUGUGAAUUAUGUGUAAAAUAGAGGAAAGAUACUUAAUGGAGAUUACGAAGUAAGACAUUUUGGACAAUUGGACAUGACAAAGAAUUAAGAAGCACGGCAAUAAAGGUAGAAAAAAAUAGGGCUAGAGAAGCAUCAGUCUAGUGUUGAGUAUAUCGGAAGCCCCAAAAUUAGAUGGAUCCUAUAAUAAUGGAUAUUAAGGACAUAAUUUG